AAAAAUAAAAACAAAAUAAAAAAAAAAAGUAGAGAAUUACUAUACAGCUUUAUUUAUUAAUGAAAACAAUUCGAUGGUCGGAAAAAUAUUAUGGAUAAUUUGAAUUUGAUUACGAGCGAGAAGGAUGAAACGAAUUUAUAUAUCGAACGAGAAUGUGAUGUGGAUUUCAAACUAGAUUUAGAAGAUACCGAUAAAUGAAGACGAAAUUACGCUGAAAGCACGAGAGAUGAUUUAAAUGAUGUAUGCGGACUACUUUCAUUUUCAGAACCAGCUAAAAUAGUAUAAUAAUAAUUAUCAGAUAAAAAUUGUAAAUUUAAAAAUAUAUAUAACCUUUUUCUGUUGCUUUUUCAA